GACGAACGCUGGCGGCGUGCUUAACACAUGCAAGUCGAACGGUAAGGCUCCAGCUUGCUGGGGUACACGAGUGGCGAACGGGUGAGUAACACGUGGGUGACCUGCCCUGCACUUCGGGAUAAGCCUGGGAAACUGGGUCUAAUACCGGAUAGGACCGCACCGUGAGGGUGUGGUGGAAAGUUUUUUCGGUGUGGGAUGGGCCCGCGGCCUAUCAGCUUGUUGGUGGGGUAAUGGCCUACCAAGGCGGCGACGGGUAGCCGGCCUGAGAGGGUGGACGGCCACAUUGGGACUGAGACACGGCCCAGACUCCUACGGGAGGCAGCAGUGGGGAAUAUUGCACAAUGGGCGGAAGCCUGAUGCAGCGACGCCGCGUGGGGGAUGACGGCCUUCGGGUUGUAAACUCCUUUCACCAUCGACGAAGGGUUUCUGACGGUAGAUGGAGAAGAAGCACCGGCUAACUACGUGCCAGCAGCCGCGGUAAUACGUAGGGUGCGAGCGUUGUCCGGAAUUACUGGGCGUAAAGAGCUCGUAGGUGGUUUGUCGCGUCGUCUGUGAAAUUCCGGGGCUUAACUCCGGGCGUGCAGGCGAUACGGGCAUAACUUGAGUACUGUAGGGGAGACUGGAAUUCCUGGUGUAGCGGUGAAAUGCGCAGAUAUCAGGAGGAACACCGGUGGCGAAGGCGGGUCUCUGGGCAGUAACUGACGCUGAGGAGCGAAGGCAUGGGGAGCGAACAGGAUUAGAUACCCUGGUAGUCCAUGCCGUAAACGGUGGGCGCUAGGUGUGGGUUUCCUUCCACGGGAUCCGUGCCGUAGCUAACGCAUUAAGCGCCCCGCCUGGGGAGUACGGCCGCAAGGCUAAAACUCAAAGGAAUUGACGGGGGCCCGCACAAGCGGCGGAGCAUGUGGAUUAAUUCGAUGCAACGCGAAGAACCUUACCUGGGCUUGACAUAUACAGGAUCGCGCCAGAGAUGGUGUUUCCCUUGUGGCUUGUAUACAGGUGGUGCAUGGUUGUCGUCAGCUCGUGUCGUGAGAUGUUGGGUUAAGUCCCGCAACGAGCGCAACCCUUGUCUUAUGUUGCCAGCACGUUGUGGUGGGGACUCGUAAGAAACUGCCGGGGUUAACUCGGAGGAAGGUGGGGAUGACGUCAAAUCAUCAUGCCCCUUAUGUCCAGGGCUUCACACAUGCUACAAUGGUCGGUACAGUGGGUUGCCAGUCCGUGAGGGCGAGCUAAUCCCGCAAAGCCGGUCUCAGUUCGGAUCGGGGUCUGCAACUCGACCCCGUGAAGUCGGAGUCGCUAGUAAUCGCAGAUCAGUAACGCUGCGGUGAAUACGUUCCCGGGCCU
rnacentral:rRNA from 1 species